GCGCCCGUAGCUCAGCUGGAUAGAGCAUUUGGCUACGAACCAAAAGGUCGGACGUUCGAAUCGUUCCGGGCGUGCCA
rnacentral:tRNA from 1 species